rnacentral:rRNA from 1 species
CGGGGUGCAGCAGGCGCGAAACCUUCGCAAUGCGCGAAAGCGUGACGAGGUUAGUCCGAGUGGCCUCCGCUGAGGAGGUCUUUUGUCGGCUGUAAAAAGGCCGGCGAAUAAGGGGAGGGCAAGUCUGGUGUCAGCCGCCGCGGUAAUACCAGCUCCUCGAGUGGUCGGGGCGAUUAUUGGGCCUAAAGCAUCCGUAGCUUGUUCCGUAGGUCCCCUGCAAAAUCCAACUGCUCAACGGUUGGUCCGCAGGAGAUACCGCGGGACUAGGAGGCGGGAGAGGUGGACGGUACUCCACGUGUAGGGGUAAAAUCCUUUGAUCCGUGGAAGACCACCAGUGGCGAAGGCGGUCCACCAGAACGCGCUCAACGGUGAGGGAUGAAAGUUGGGGGAGCGAACCGGAUUAGAUACCCGGGUAGUCCCAGCCGUAAACGAUGCGAGCUAGAUGAUCCGGUCGCAAAUCGCGAUCGGAGUGUCGCAGGGAAGCCGUUAAGCUCGCCGCCUGGGGAGUACGGUCGCAAGGCUGAAUCCGAAAGGAAUUGGCGGGGGAGCAC